AACGCCGCGUGAGUGAAGAAGGUCUUAGGAUUGUAAAGCUCUGUCCUUAGGGAAGAACCGUGGGUAUAGAAAAUGAUACCCACCUGACGGUACCUUUGGAGGAAGCACUGGCUAACUACGUGCCAGCCACUUCGGUGACUGAGCGGGCUGGCAAGGCGCAUA
rnacentral:rRNA from 1 species